UUGCAUUAGAGUUUAUUUCUCCCUUCUGACCUGCUAUAAAGAAGCUGAGAGUUAUGACUUGUUCAGAGGCCCAUUCUGGUAGCCAGGUAACCCUGGGGAAGAGAGUAGAAGCAGCCCAAUACUUUUUACCUACCUUCUGUCUCCGCAGGUUUCCAUCAGGUGAACAGAAACCUUGAACAGGGGAGACAUUUGGUAUCUGCAUUUUUCAUCCUUCUAGUGCUUUUGAUUCUGAACUCUCAGAAAUGGUAGGCAGUGCUGAUGGUUGAAAGGCAGUGUAUGCUGGGGUCUACUUUGGGAAAUAAAUAGCAGUGGUUUAAUUUGACUUAACAAUAUUAUCCUAUCUCAUAAUACACAUGAUGAGGGAAAAGAACCCAGGAUUUUGUUGACAACUCCUGAAGCUUAUAUUUUUAAAGGGUAGUCUUCAGCAGCUGGAUUUGAAUCAGAUGUCAAAAUUGAAAAUAAGGCUGACAAGUGGCUUGAAAUGGUGAUUUUUUAGGGGGAACUUUCAGUCCAGAAAUACCUUUGUUUUUAUGGAAUGCUAGCAUAACUAUGAAGCUGACCUAGCAAGUCUUUUGUCUUUAGGUUUCCAUUCUUUACAGAGAGCUGUACACUUCCACAGGAAAAAAAAGUGGAACGACAAAACUGAAAACAUGAAGGCCUACAUCUUCUUGAUAAUCUUUAUCUGGGAAGCAGGACUGUCUCUCAAGCCAUCCAUCGAGUACACAAGUGAGAAACCCUGGCUGCACAACCCACACACAGGACAGAGAAUUCCACACAGUUUUUCACUGGAGCAGUGCAAGGUGAAAGCCAGGAUGGAGAGCCCUGGUCGGACCUCAGAGGCUUUUGACUAUUAAAUGCCUCCUUUUAUCAGUAAUAUGAAAGUGUACUAGGUACAGACAUAAUAAUCUUUUCCCAUCUUCCACACUGAUUUUGGAGGCUGUUAAAUAUUUGGUUAUAUUUGGAAAACAUUUUGACAUUCUUUGCAGAACGACACCAUAGAGAAGCAAAGUACGCAUAUUAUUGCUUUAUAAAGGAACCUUUAAACUAAUGAGGCAUUAAUGAAUAGACUGGUAUGCUGAAUCUUUCUCAUGUAGGAAGGGUACAAAGUCAUUUCACAUAAAUUGCAGCCCAUUAUUAUAAAUAGUUUGGCAUGGGUUUCCCUAGAGGUGGGACUUCAAGCCAAAUAUACAGCAGCAGCUGUGGUGACACUUUGUGCAGAAACAAUUCCAGGCAUUGUGCUGGAGGAGCUGGUAUUGCAGGAUAACAGCACAGCAGCACAUAUUUAGAGCCAUCUUACAGCAGCAGUUCUGCUGGUUUGUAGUGAAAGUGUGAAAAAUAUCUGUGUGUGCUUGAGAUGAGCAAGAUGAGUCUUCUUCCCUCUCAUUGUUUCCCAUUGAUUUUGUACCCAGCUUAACCAACUACAAUCACUGUACGUAAGAUUUUAAUGAUCAAGGAGUCUCCCUGAAUUAUACUUUAUAAUUUUUAUUGGAAAUUGUAAGUUAUUGCUGCAAUACUCCCAGAAAUAUGCCUUUCCUCUCCUACAUCUGACUUUUAAGGUCUGUGCUAAACUGGAAGCCACACCAGGUAUUAUCUGAUAACUGGUGUCCAAAUUCAUCCCCAAGGCAUAUAAUUAUAUUCAGGUUACUAUGAAUUUUAGAAAGGUUACACAAAUUACUACAAAACUAGGGAAAAGGGACAGUCUUUUUUUGUGUGUAUGUGUGUGUUUGCAGUGACCAUUUAUGCUUACGUGGCUUAAAUCUUCCUACUCCACUUUUCCAACCAGCCAACAGAUUACCAGCCUUUGUUUGGCAUGCUAACAAAUCCCUAUAAAUCAGUGUGUCAUAGAUUUGCCUGGCUCAUACACAUCAGUUUUCCCAUCCUUUUAAAAUUCCUACUGGUUAUAUCCCUGAGACCAGUUCUGCUGAGCCUUGGUACUCUGCUUGUCCUCAGCAGGAUUCCACAGUGAAAAUUGAUUUGGGUACCUUCAGACAUUGGUGGCUGGGAAUGAUGCCAAUCAAAUGCAAUACUGGGCCUCAUCUGUCACUGGCAAGCCGCUGGUAUGCAUUCCUCAAAGCAGAGGGUUUUUUCCUCCCUUGUUUCCACACCUGAAUCCCAUAAAGCACAUGUAUGGAAAGUGUGCUUGUAAAGUGUGAUGCACCAAACUCAGGAGAGCAGCAGUCAAGGUGGAGACUGUGCAUCUUGUAAAGCUGAAGAAGAAUAUUUUCUUUCAUUGUAUUUUCUGCCUCAUAAUAAAGGGGCUUGUAACAGCCCUUGUCCUUGUCCUGUCUUGGAACAGGACAUCCUUCCUUUUCUCUGCUUUGCAGGAUAGUAGCUGUGUUUCUCCUUUCCUUCAUCAACCUCCCAAGACUAGUGUGUGUGUUGGUAUGACUAUAAGUGUUAUUUCACAAGCAGGAUUUGGACAGAUAGUAGAAAUAAUAGUUACUUUUUUCUUUGGGCUCUCUAGUUUCUGAGAGCAUCUAACUGAGAGCAUUUAUUUGGGUUUUUUUCCCUGAAAUUUAAUGCUACCUUUUCUUACCUUUUGUCAUGGUUCUUGUCUAAGAAUUGCUUAGUGCUUUUUUUGCACAGUUUUUUUUUAAUGCCUAGCACAGGCUUUUAAAAGUAAUAAAGGCAUAUUAGUCAUAUUCAAUACCACUCAAUGGUAAUGGGUACAACAUCUGAUUUCCAAUUAACCUUAGUUUUGGUUUAUUUGCAGCCUUUAAUUUGGUACUUUCAACAAAUACAUACAAUUUGUGGGCUUUUCUUUGAAUCUUGUGCUUUUAGGACUGAGUUUGACUCUCAGUUGCUUCCCUGGUAUUUUCCCAAAAUCCACUGAAACUUUUUUAUUUGGAGAUGAGUAGAGAAUUCAGUCACCAGUCCCUAUUAGCUAUUUUUUCUUAACUCUUUUGAGAAGAUACAUCUCUUUAAAUUUGUUGCUUGAAUAACAUCUUGGGCAUUCUUUGGUGAAGUGACAUUUCACCUGUCAUUACUGGAGAUUAAUGUUAACUUUUUUUGCUUGAUCAUUUCACUUUUCAAUAGAUAGAUUUAAUGUACCAACACCAUGAGCAACUAACUACCAGCUCUGCAAGAAGAGUUUAUCUGCUGCUUUCAGCCAGGACUGUCUGGGUGUCAGAGCUCUUAGGCCACCAGCAGUCUGAGUGUCCCUGACAAGUUCCUUGUGUCUCUCACCCUUAUGUUUUUUCAUGUAGGAGUAAUUUCACUGAUAAUUAAGGGUAUUACACCAGCAUUACCUUAGGUAACUGAAAUUUGAUGUCAGGGAGUCUGGCAUGUACUACAGGUUGCAUGUAACAAUGUUUGUUUUUCCAGUGACAAUUUUUUUUUUUAAGGGAUGGCCCUGGAGCUUGUAAAUUAGUAAGUCCUGGUGAUGAAGCCUAAAUUACAGUUCCCUGUAAUUACCUGGGGAUUUUUUUUCUCCUCUGUUUUCCAUUUUCUCCUCAGAUAUCUGUCCUUCCAGUGAUGCAGAAGUGGUUUUAAAAGUAACAGUGUGAACUAAUUACCUGGAAAUGUGAUUGCAAAUAGUUUACUUGUAGUAUCUUCAGCCACUUCUCAUUAUUUUGAGGAAAGGAGAGGAGAACUUAUGGUUUUUGAUAACUAGGCAUUGAUCAAAUGUGCAGUUGAUACAAAUCUCAUCCUCAUACCUGUCAAAUAAAUUGUUAUUUUAUUUCUUCUCACUUGUAUAGAAAGAUAUUUUACAGAUGGUAUUUGGUUUAGAGGUUGGAAAUGAUUUUGCCUGGUGUUGUCCUUUGCCUAUUCUUUUGCUUCUUGGUACUUGUAGGACUUUGAACAUAAGUGCCAAAGUGUGUAUCACAAAUCCGGGAGGGAUUCCCAAGCCACCUGAAUGCCCAGGUUGAAACAUUUGCAGGAAUUCCUCCCUGCUUUUGUCUUUUCUUUUAAAAGCAAAAUCCUACUGUUCAUCUGUGCAGCUAUGAAUGCUUGCCUUAGAAAAAUUCUGUUGGUAUUUGUACAUUGGUUUGAAACACAAAGCAAGGGUUAGACUCUGUCCAGAGCUACAGAGGACAAGCUGCAGCACUGCACCUCCUGUAUGCAGCCUGUUUGUACCUGUCAACACAGCAGCAGAGGGAGGCUGGAUUUUUUUAUUUUUUUUUUUAGUGCCUCCCUGUGCCUUUCCUGGGCUGUUUAAUGUAGUUUUGAGUGUUCUUACAGAGAAUUUGGCUCUGCUGACCAUCAUUUCCAUCGAGGUGCCUGAGAGGGCUUUCAGCCAUACAACUGUGCUAGCAAAAACAGAAUUUUGGGCUUGGCAAGGAAUGGCGUAAUUACAUGAGGGGAGGUUUGUGAGGGGGGUGAGUGCCUGUGACUGAUGGUAAUGCUGGGCACUGUGUGGGGUGGUCCUGGGUGCCCUGUGAGGGGGCCCAGCUGCAGCAGUGCGUCCCAGCCCCACAGCCUCCCAUGCCAGUGUGUGUGGGACAGACUGCGAAAUAUGGGUAAGAGAUUAGGGACAAAAAUGAGUGCACAGCCCUGAGUAGACUGCAUGGAGUCCAGUGCUAGGGAGAAAGACAACUUGGAGCUGCCGUGGGCUGGGGCAGGGACAGGACCCUACAACCAGCUUCCUCCUUGCUGAACAUCCUAUCACCUAUGCUGAACAUCCCUAUUACUCCACACCUCUAAUGAGCUACAUGCUUUGCUUGUGUGAAAUAACUUCCUUCCUUUGGCCUUGCUGCUCUUAUAAGCCUCAAGCUUUUAUCCCAAACAAAGGUUGCCACUACAAAUCAUUUGGGGAGGAAGACUCAUUUCUUGCCUGUCACCCUGACCAUGCUCUUGUGCUGUGUUGUUUAUUAGCUCUAAGAUGGAGGAAAAAAAAAAGCCCUGAAUUAAUACCAAAAUACUCUCUUUGGUAUUUUUAAGGCAGGGAAGAAAAGGGAAUAUGAGUUUUUGGAAAGUCCUGCUUCUGUUAGCAUUGCAUCCUGUGGGAAGAGGGGUUUGAGAUGUGAGUCACAACAGGGGUGAGAAGGGUGGGCAGUGAGCUGCCUUUCUGGCUGUGCUCUGUGGGAGGGAGCCAGGAGGCAUCCUCUGAGGCACCAGCUCAGCUGGAAGGCUGGGGAACAGAGCUGGGAACAAAGGAGCAUCAGCCUGUGCAGACAGGGAGACAGCCAGCCCAUCAGUGAAGGGAUUGAUUUUUUCCCACCAAAAGGUCUUCUUUG